rnacentral:rRNA from 1 species
GAAAUGCGAUAAGUAAUGUGAAUUGCAGAAUUCAGUGAAUCAUCGAAUAUUUGAACGCACCUUGCGCUCUUUGGUAUUCCGAAGAGCAUGCCUGUUUGAGUGUCAUUUAAAUCAUCAAUCUUUUUUGAAUUGUCAUUGAUUCAGCUAAGAUUGGAUUGUGGGAGUGUGCGGGCUCGUACCAGAGUCGGCUCUCCUUAAAAAUGUUAGUGAGGCCUUUGUUGACCAUCACUGGUGUGAUAAUUAUCUACGCCAAUCGAAGGUCUUCAUUUGUUGGACUUGCUUCUAACCAGUCUACUACGACUUUUUGACUAAUUUGACCUCAAAUCAGGUAGGACUACCCGCUGAACUUAA